rnacentral:tRNA from 1 species
GCCUGGCUGGCUCAGUCGGUAGAGCGUGUGACUCUGGAUUUUGGGGUAGUGAGUUCGAGCCCCAUGUUGGGUG